rnacentral:rRNA from 1 species
GACGAACGCUGGCGGCGUGCCUAAUACAUGCAAGUCGAGCGGAGUGAUGUUGGAAGCUUGCUUCCAACAUCACUUAGCGGCGGACGGGUGAGUAACACGUAGGCAACCUGCCUGUAAGACUGGGAUAACUACCGGAAACGGUAGCUAAUACCGGAUAAUUUAUUUCUUCUCCUGGAGAGAUAAUGAAAGACGGAGCAAUCUGUCACUUACGGAUGGGCCUGCGGCGCAUUAGCUAGUUGGUGAGGUAACGGCUCACCAAGGCGACGAUGCGUAGCCGACCUGAGAGGGUGAACGGCCACACUGGGACUGAGACACGGCCCAGACUCCUACGGGAGGCAGCAGUAGGGAAUCUUCCGCAAUGGACGAAAGUCUGACGGAGCAACGCCGCGUGAGUGAUGAAGGUUUUCGGAUCGUAAAGCUCUGUUGCCAGGGAAGAACGUCCGGUAGAGUAACUGCUACCGGAGUGACGGUACCUGAGAAGAAAGCCCCGGCUAACUACGUGCCAGCCGCCGCCGUAACAC